AUGAGAGCGACGAAUCGGGACAGGACCCUAGCUGCCACUCCCCCUCAAGCUCACGCCCCUCUCCUUCGUCCCCUCCCCAUCGUGGUCCUGUCCUCCUUGCCUCGCCGUUCUUCUCCUGCCGCCCAGCUGGCCGCCGCCGCCUCGUCCUUUCCUCCUCCCCUAUGCUCGGAAGGAGCGCGGGCCGCCACCCCAUCAUACGAUACGGUGUGGGAGUGCAACCCCGACGCCUCCUCCGCCCAGCUGUGUGACUCGCGACGGCAAGAUCCAGCCGCGGCGGCCGAGAUUCAUGUGCGCCCGCAGAGCGUGUGGCUGGAUAGGGAGACCAGCACCAAGUGCUACAUGCUGUCCGCCAGGAACUUGUUCAUCGUGUGGGGCGACACGCCGCAGUACUGGACCUGGAUCCCACUCUAAGACUCUAGGUUCUCCGAAGGUGCUCAACUCAGGGAUGUUUGCUGGUUAGAGAUCCGCGGGAAGAUAAAUAGCAAGAUCCUCUCCCAAGACACAACCUAUGCUGCCUACAUGGUCUUCAAGUCGACCAAAAGAAACUAUGGUCUGGAUUUUCCCGACUAGGAGGCAUCGGUCAGUUCCGGAGCAACCAACUUAACCCGCAAGGUUUGCAUACAAGACGAGGGGGAGGACGGGGAUGAGGACAACGAGGAGGAUGUGGUGCUGGAGAACUAUUGGGCGAGGUGGAACAACCGCGUAGUAUCUCACAGAGAGAAUGUCACGUUGCCUCAGAAAAGAGCCGACGGCUGGAUGGAGCUAGAGUUGGGCGAGUUUUUCAAUGAGGGGGGCGAUGACGGCGAGGUGUCCUUCAGCCUGACGGAGACCAAAGGUGGGCAGUGGAAGAGGGGCCUCAUCGUGCAGGGCAUAGAGAUCAGACGUAAGAAAGGUGGGCAGUGGAAGCUAACAGAUGUCCCAUUUCCCUAUUUCCAGCACGUAGAUUAUUCUGUGUCUUCUCUCUGA
rnacentral:rRNA from 1 species